rnacentral:sRNA from 1 species
UGAUGGGAAACAACAUUAUCAAGGAUGAGGAGAAGGAAAGAUCUUGACAUAGCAUAGGAAAAAAUGUAAAAAGUAAACUUAGCAGGCCAUUUUGUGGGAUCGUAGAAGAGUGUGCACAAAGGGUAAGGGACUCAGAAUUCCUUCUGAGAUAAAGGACUGGCACCUACUGAGGGCAGAUCUGUGUCUUACAGUUUCAUUGUAGAACUAAAGAUAUGUCUUAGUAGCAAGAGUGUUUACCUAAGUAAACUCAAGGUUCAAUCCCCAGUAGUGGAAAGAAAAGAAAAACUUUCAUUAUGGCUUGGUGUGUGGGUGCACCCAGUACUCAUAAGGUAAAGCAGAAAUACAUAGGUAGAGGCCAGCCUGGGCUACACACUAGGGCCCUAUCAAAGGGGAGGGAAAACAAAAACAAACAAGCAAACAACUUUAUUCUAUUUCUAGACUGAAGGAACUUCAGAUCACAAAUAUUUCUCGUGAAUACUCAUCCUGGAAACCUCUUCCCACUGUAACUCUUCUUCCAACCAAGAGAUCAGAUCGGGAUCUCACAUCCCACACAUAGGGGAAAUGUAGUCAUGGAAGUGGUUCAUUCUGCAGGAAAAAAAAGGUGGAAGCAUCUCUUCCUGGAGGGGGCACACUGGGCAUCUUGUGACAGUCUCUGCAUACCUGAUGAACAUCUAGCCAGUGGCCCCCAUGCUCGCUGCCUCCUUCUUUUCCUCCACACAGAGUGAGUCAACAGAAAGACCACCUGCAAGAAAGAAAAGAUGGGAGAAGCCAAAGAUUCCUAUCUUUGUCAUCCAUUCUUCAGUGUCAUCUGUCAUAGCAUCAAAUCCAUGGAUUUCCAUAGGAUUUCUCAAGUCCUAUACACUUGAGAAAAAUCAGACAUGCACACUAUUGUUAAUGAUACUGUUAGGGUUGGAGACAUGGCUCACUGGUUAAGAGCACUUGCUGUUCUUACAGAAGACCUGCGUUCAAUUCUUAGCACCCACGUGAUGGUUCAUAACCACCUAUCCCUCCAGUUCCAGGAUGCACAUGAUACAGAGAUUCAUGUAAGCAAAACACUCACAUAAAAUAAAUCUAAAAAAAUCAAUGUA